rnacentral:rRNA from 1 species
CCUACGGGAGGCAGCAGUGGGGAAUUUUGGACAAUGGGCGCAAGCCUGAUCCAGCCAUGCCGCGUGCAGGAUGAAGGCCUUCGGGUUGUAAACUGCUUUUGUACGGAACGAAAAGACUCUGGUUAAUACCUGGGGUUCAUGACGGUACCGUAAGAAUAAGCACCGGCUAACUACGUGCCAGCAGCCGCGGUAAUACGUAGGGUGCGAGCGUUAAUCGGAAUUACUGGGCGUAAAGCGUGCGCAGGCGGUUAUAUAAGACAGAUGUGAAAUCCCCGGGCUCAACCUGGGAACUGCAUUUGUGACUGUAUAGCUAGAGUACGGUAGAGGGGGAUGGAAUUCCGCGUGUAGCAGUGAAAUGCGUAGAUAUGCGGAGGAACACCGAUGGCGAAGGCAAUCCCCUGGACCUGUACUGACGCUCAUGCACGAAAGCGUGGGGAGCAAACAGGAUUAGAUACCCUGGUAGUCCACGCCCUAAACGAUGUCAACUGGUUGUUGGGUCUUCACUGACUCAGUAACGAAGCUAACGCGUGAAGUUGACCGCCUGGGGNGUAGCGCGAGUAGAGUUANAANGAGUUGNGNGNGAGAGNGCGAGCGACGACGAGGAGAGG